GACAUCAUGGCCGAAUGGAUAAGGCGGCGAGACCGAAUGGACAUCAUUUCGUGUAUUAACUCGUCGAUGCAGGUUCGAGUCCUGCUGGUGUCG